GAGGUGGGAUAUCACACUACUUUUCAUUUAGUAUAUCUUCUUAUCAAGUUGGCUUUAGUUUUGCCUGUUGCGACUGCUAGUGUGGAACUAGUAUUUUCUGCGAUGAAUAUUGUUAAGACAAAUUUACGCAACAAGAUGGGAGAUGACUUUCUCACCGACUGUUUGGUGUGCUAUAUCGAGAGAGAGAUUUUUAGGCGCAUUGAUAAUGAAGUGAUUAUCCAACAUUUUCAGAAUAUGAGAACUCGCAGGUUGGAUUUACCGCCUUUAUGGUCCGAACUCCGAAGAGAGACUCCGUCAUUCUAGUACCGUUACCGGUUCAACAGUCAACAAUGUGUUUCAAUUUGUAAUUGAUUUUUUUUGUUUCAAUUGAAUUUGAGUAACUAAUUGAAAUGUUGAAUUACUUGUGAUUUAGGAUUAUGAUUUUGUUGAAUGUUGAAUUAUUUGUGAUCUAGGAAUAUGGAAAAAAAAAAAUCAACGAACUAAGAGGCCGUCGAAAAAAAAAUUACAUGCAUAAUCCGGAUCCCCCUAUUGAAGUCCUCUGGCUCCGCCACUGACAACAAUGAAUGCUUCUGCUGCCCUGCAAAAAAUAUGAAUUAACACAUUUUUGAGCACAACAUUAAACACAUGAAUGAAUACAUAUUUGAACACAACAUUACUACUAUUGAACACAACAUUACUACUGUUGAACACAUGAAUUGAUAAACACAACAACAUAUUUACUACUACUGAACACAUGAAUGAACACACAAUACUACUGCUGAACAAAACAACAAGCAGACCUGAACUCAGGUGCUUAAUGACAAUUAAAGAUCCUAUAUUCAUCAAAUGGAAAAUAAUUAUAUAUUCUUAAACAAAGAUAAACCAUUUAAAAUAUCAUGUAUAAGAUCAACAAGGGAAUAAGAAUGUUGUACAUGAUAAGCGACUAGACUCAAACAGAACCAUCCUCUGCCCCAGAAAUCAAAAAAGAUUGAUCCUCAAAGUAUAGUAAAUGAGUAACAACCCAUAUAUUUGAACAUUUAUAAAAUAUAGUCCUAAAUGGAAUCAAGAAAAAGAAUAAGAAGUACAUGUUCAAUUUAACUAAUUUUAAAAGAAAUUGAAGGCAGGGAAAAAAUGAACUCAUUAAUCCAAUGAAAAAAUCAAAUCUGAAAACAUUUGGAGAGAAUGGACCCUGCAACCACUCACCAUUUAGACAUACAAUGGGCUUCAUUAACCACUACAAGUGAAACAAGUGCACUGACAAAAAAAUGGAUGUAAAUUAUAAAUUCAAAAAUAUCUCUGCUGAAACAAAAAAGGACCUGAUGCAAAUCGCAAAAAUCACUAAAAUCGCAAUAGCCCCGUUAAAAUCGCGUCCUAAUUUAAAUCGCAGCAGGUAGAAAUCGCUCAGUGAUGCACACAUGGUCCACGUUUUUCAAGCCUGUAAGACUAAAAACAAACCAUGUUACUUUAGCACAUGUCCAGUCUGACCUGGCCUUUCAAAAAGCCUGAACCAGCCUAGCCUUCGGCCAAGUUCAGUCUGAUGAUGUCCAGCCUGACCUGACCUUUCAAAAUGCCUGACCCAGCCUAGCCUUUGGCCAAGUCCGGCUUGAUGAAGCCAUGGCUGACCUAAGGCCUGGUCUGGCCCGUGAAAAUUGGACCCCAACUUAAAAUUCUAUUAAUUUGUAUAAGCUAAGGACUCACACUCGUACAAAUAUUUGAGCGAAGGAUGGAUUCUUUAUUUAUACUACUAAUGUCCUAUCAUAAAUUGGUGGGUAUGGGAUGUGGGACUUAACAAAAGCUUUCACAUUAACAUACACAACAUCACCUCACUCAAAACUUUCAUACAACAUAAAUUGAAGAAGAGUGGAUGGAAACAACUGCAUCUCCUUGAAAACCAAGAGAAAUACCACUUUAGAAAGAAACUCAAAAAGCAAGAUUCACAUUAACAUGCGUAGAAUCACCUCACUCAAAUUGCAAGUUUUACUUUCACUUAUCUGGUUGACAAUUUUAAAAAUUAAACAAAAAACUGAAUUACGCCUUUGUACUUUUCCCUAAUUAGGUGAGCUACAAUAAAAAAAUUAGGGGUGCAAAUGAGUCGAAUCUAAGCGGAUACCUGCAUGCUCAGAUUCGGCUCGAUUCAAAAAAAUUGAGCUCGAAUUCGACUCGGAUUCGAUAAGGGAUUUAUAUUUUUGCGCCAGAUUCGACUCGGAUCAUUACUCGGACCUACUCGGCUCGUAAGUACUCGACUCGUUUACAAAGCGAGUUACUCAUGAGCCUUCAAAUUGAGUUUCGAAUAUGAACCAUUUUACUUAAAAUUGAACCACUACAUACUAAAUUGGUUACUUAACUAAUAUUUAUAUAUAUAACUUUUUCACUUUUAUUUAUAUAUUGAAAUUAUAAAGAAUGUAAUAUAAAUUAACAUUUAAUUCAUUGAUUUAUUCAAGUACAAGUUUACACAAUUUCAUACUACACUUUAUAAAUUAUAAAGAUUGAUACAAAUAUCACAUAUUUAGCUUACUAGUAUGGAUGAGACCAAUAUUCGAAUAUGAUCCAUCGAGCAUGUAUCGAGUAUGGUUUGAGAAAAAAAUGAAAUAUUUGAACCUUAAUAUGAGCGAACACUGGUCUGCUCGAGUUCGACUAGUGUAUCAUUAAACAGAAAACGAGUAUGGAUCAGAUUCGACUCGGGUCAACUUCGAAUUCGAGCUUUGGAUCAUAUUUUCGAGUCGAUCUCGAGUCGAGUACCGAACUACUUGGCUCGGUUAUCACCCCUAUACAAAAUCCAUAAAAUAAAUUACACCUUAAACCUCAAAUGCUUGAUUUCAACUCAAUUUGGUGAAUUUGAAAAGAACUCCAUCAAGAUUCACAAUAUCAAAUUUAGAAAGUUUCCAUAGCAUAGCAAAAGGAAAAUAAAAAAAAACUUAUUGCAGAGAACAAAAGUAGUCUCUAUAUAGUAUAAGGAUUGAAUUGUUGCCAUUAACAGAAAACAAUUAUUAAAUAUAAAAAAACAUGUUAUACAUGCAGAAGAGACAAUAAAAUGAACAGAAAAAACCCAAUUACUGAAAUGAAAAGACUUAUAUUCUAAAAUACUUGUAUGAUAAUCUAAAACUUGAGUUGGGUGGAAGAGAGUCCCACGUGGUCUAAAAACCCUCUCUUGCCUACCUCUAUUCUAUAAAAUAAAAGACACUUCAAGUCAAUGAUAAUUAACCUGAAAGUUUGAAGGGGAUGCUUGGCAUAGCUAGGCCCGGCCUUGACCUGUCUUGGGUCUGACCUGAUCAACAGGCCCUGUCAGACUAUGUCUUUUACUUAAUUAUCUGGCCCAACCUUUUAUCAUUUGAGCUUCGGCUCCGUCUGCUUAAUGGUCAAAGCUUGACAAGCUUUGAUGCAUAACAAAUAAAUAUUAUGAAUCAUUCUCCAUAUAUAUAUAUAUAUAUAUAUAUAUAUAUAUAUAUAUAUAUAUAUAUAUAUAGAGAGAGAGAGAANNNNNNNNNNNNNNNNNNNNNNNNNNNNNNNNNNNNNNNNNNNNNNNNNNNNNNNNNNNNNNNNNNNNNNNNNNNNNNNNNNNNNNNNNNNNNNNNNNNNUUUUUGAUGUUGUGUCACAUGUAACUGCCUUUCUCUCUCCUAUAUUUUAAUUUAUCCCUAGAAUCUCUCACAUUUUCUCACACAUGCUAUAAUUUUUUUAUUGCACACACUGUGUGCCACCAAUAAUAGUAUAUAUAAUGUAGUAAGAAGUGUGUACAAUUAUUUUAAAAAAUUAUUCUUUAAAUUUUUCCAUAAAUUUCACAAAAUUUUAAAGUAAAUAUCAAUAAUAAUAACUAGCACAAUGAUGAAAUAUUCAUUCUAAAAUAGAUUAAAAGGUCGUAUUGGGCGAUCAAUGUAAUUUACUUAUAGGGCAAAGGUCCAAAAAUGCCCCUGAUGUUUACCCCGAUUUUUCACUUACACCUUAAAUUAUUAUUUUUUUUAAAAGUACACUCAACGUUACAAAUUUUGGCUCAACUAUGCCCCUCCCGUCAACGGAUCUGCCACUUAGAUAAAUGUGGCUGACUAGGCUGGACACAUGGCAAAAAUAAAAUUUAAUAAUAAUUUUUUAUUAUUUUCUCUUUCUCCUCCCUCUUUUCUCUCUCUCUCUCCUUUUUUUUUCUUCUCCCUCUUUUCUCUCUCUCUCUUCUAUUUCCUCUGUUCCUUCCUCUGUUCCGUUAUGCAGAUGAUCAUUCAGAUCUGUGCAUCAAUAUUUCCACAAGGCCUACUUAUAGAUGGAUUAUGCAAAUGAAUCCCCCCAUUACAAUAACCUCUCUCUUGCUUCUUUCUUAGCUCCAACACAUAAUCCAUCAGACCAUUUUGACAACUGGGGUCAGAAUAUAGAACAGGGGAAUGACUCCAUGCUGCUUUUUGACAACUGGGGUCAGAAUAAAGCAAGGUUAUUGAUGAAGGCCAGCCACCAUAUAAAUGAUGCAUAUAAAGAGAUGGAAAAUGUAAAGGGUGGCUACAAAAUCCAAGCACUUCUUUGCUCUCUCAAUCAAGUAUAGCAAAUAACCAGCCCUGCACAAACAUUAAAAUUAAAAUUACGAUGCUCUAGAGACAUUUAUUACUUCUUCAUAGUAAUUUCAGCACAAGCAGAAUAGACCAAAAAAUCAAAUCAACACAAACAAUUCAACCUCAGGUAACCCAAACCAUCAACUUUUAAAUAAUUAAACUAGAUAGAAUUAAAGGGCAAUAAUAAUUCAUAUAAUCUCAAAUUCUACUAUUUUUUUCACAAAUACCCAAUUAUUUAAUUUCAAUAACAAUUCAUAAAAUCAACUAACAAAUUCAUGAAACCCACAAAAAUUAUACAAUCAAUUUUCAAGUAGGCCAAUAAAAAAAAUUAAACAGGGGUAUGACAAAUAAAAGUUAAAUUAAAAUUAUGGGUAUCGAAAAGAUUCAAAACCCUCACCUGAUAUCAGCUCCAAUCUCUUAAAUUAAACCCAUCAAAUCUAUUCAAUGAAAUCUAUAAACCCUAACCAAUUUUGAAUUUUUCAAUUACAAGAAGAUAGAGAUUGAGAGGAGAGAGAAAAUAAAUGCGCAACACUUUGUAUACAUCGUAUCUGUGCAAAAAGAUAGACAGAGAGGGAUGACAGUUCCAGAGUUUUUGUCGCUUAAAUCCUAUCGGAAAAUCACCAGCAAAAGAAGAGUUAGUCAAAGAAUGAUGGAAGUUAAUGAAGAGAGGGCUUAGAGAGAGAAUGGGGUGUGGUUAGUGUUUAGAGAGAGAAUAUUUAGUUUAAUGGGUGAGGAUGAGUUGAAAUUUUUAUUUUGUUUUUUGUUUUUGUCAUGUCAGUUAAUUUUAACGUCCGUUUAUCUAGUUGUCAUUUUUUUUAAUGAGAGGGGCAUAGUUGAG
rnacentral:lncRNA from 1 species